GAUGAAGAACGUAGUGAAAUGCGAUAAGUAAUGUGAAUUGCAGAAUUCAGUGAAUCAUCGAAUCUUUGAACGCACAUUGCGCCCCCUGGUAUUCCGGGGGGCAUGCCUGUCCGAGCGUCAUUACAACCCUCAAGCUCAGCUUGGUGUUGGGCCCCGCCGCCCCGGCGGGCCCUAAAGUCAGUGGCGGUGCCGUCCGGCUCCGAGCGUAGUAAUUCUUCUCGCUCUGGAGGUCCGGUCGUGUGCUCGCCAGCAACCCCCAGUUUUUUUCAGGUUGACCUCGGAUCAGGUAGGGAUACCCGCUGAACUUAAGCAUAUCAAUAAGCGGAGGA
rnacentral:misc_RNA from 1 species